rnacentral:tRNA from 1 species
CCGGGUGUAGCGGAGCUGGUACCGCGCCACAUUUGGGAUGUGGAGAUCGCACGUUCGAAUCGUGUCACUCGGACCA